UACUAUUUUUAUUUUUUUUUUUUCUUUGUCUCCAGGACUCUUGGACUCCAGAGUUAAAGUUGAAACUGGAAAAGUUUCUGGCUUUAAUUUUUAAAGCAAACAACACGCCAAAGCUUUUGACAAUCUACGUAUCCUUUUGAAGCAGUGGGAGCCCCUGCAGAAUGAGAGCAGCCAGUGGUUGCAGGUGCCUGGUAGACAAGGGUAAUGAUUGUGAAUCUGAGAAUAUAAAUUGUGAACAUUUAUAAGGUGUACAAAGCAUUAAUGGGAGGCUGUGCCAAGACCCG
rnacentral:lncRNA from 1 species